GUGACCGUGGCGGUGGAGGAGGAGGAUGAGGUAGCCAACACAGUUUUUUAUAUAUAUUUUAAUAGGCAUAGCCCCCAAAAUAUUGGGACAUAUAAAAAAAGACAACUCUGUUCCGCAGAGUAACUGUUGACAUUAUAGUUGCGCAGGCACUUUGUUGACUUUAGAGAACCGUGGCAGCGACUUUGCAUGCGGAUGUCAUCCAUAUCAACUUUCGAUGCCAGUUUCUGCGCCUACCAUGGUGACCACAGGUAACGGGGAAUCAGGGUUCCAUUCCGUACAGGGACCCUGAGAAACGGCUACCACAUGCAAGGAAGG
rnacentral:rRNA from 1 species